rnacentral:rRNA from 1 species
GACAGCAGUCGCCGCGGGAAUACGUAGGUGGCAAGCGUUGUCCGGAAUUAUUGGGCGUAAAGCGCGCGCAGGCGGAUCAGUCAGUCUGUCUUAAAAGUUCGGGGCUUAACCCCGUGAUGGGAUGGAAACUGCUGAUCUAGAGUAUCGGAGAGGAAAGUGGAAUUCCUAGUGUAGCGGUGAAAUGCGUAGAUAUUAGGAAGAACACCAGUGGCGAAGGCGACUCUCUGGACGAAAACUGACGCUGAGGCGCGAAAGCCAGGGGAGCGAACGGGAUUAGAUACCCCAGUAGUCCCUGUCUCUUAUACA